GGAGUUAGCCGGUGCUUCUUCUGUGAGUGAUGUCCUUCCUGCCGGCUAUUAACCCGCAGGCCUUCUUCCUCACUGAAAGUGCUUUACAACCCGAAGGCCUUCUUCACACACGCGGCAUGGCUGGAUCAGGGUUGCCCCCAUUGUCCAAUAUUCCCCACUGCUGCCUCCCGUAGGAGUCUGGGCCGUGUCUCAGUCCCAGUGUGGCUGAUCAUCCUCUCAGACCAGCUACGGAUCGUCGCCUUGGUGAGCCGUUACCUCACCAACCAGCUAAUCCGACAUAGGCUCAUCCGAUAGCGCGAGGCCCGAAGGUCCCCCGCUUUCCCCCGUAGGGCGUAUGCGGUAUUAGCCUGGGUUUCCCCAGGUUAUCCCCCACUACCGGGCAGAUUCCUAUGCAUUACUCACCCGUCCGCCGCUCGCCACCAGGGAGCAAGCUCCCCGUGCUGCCGCUCGACUUGCAUGUGUAGCNGCCGCCAGCGUCAUCUGAGCAUGAUACAACUACUGA
rnacentral:rRNA from 1 species